AGUUAACCUACCCUAAGCUGGGGGAUAAUCGCGGGAAACUGCGCAUAAUACCCCAUAGAUGAUGAUGGCUGGAAGGCCGCUUCAUCCAAAGCUUCGGCGGCUUAGGAUGGGACUGCGGCGGAUUAGGCUGUUGUUGGGGUAACUGCCCAACAAACCGAUAAUCCGUACGGGUCGUGAGAGCGAUAGCCCGGAGAUGCAUUCUGAGACAUGAAUGCAGGCCCUACGGGGCGCAGCAGGGGCGAAACCUCCACAAUGCCUGAAAGGGUGAUGGGGGAAUCCUGAGUGAAUUCGCUUUGCGGAUUCUUUUCUGCACUCUAGACCGGUGCAGGAAUAAGUGGUGGGCAAGACGGUUGCCAGCCGCCACGGUAAUAACCGCGCCACGAGUGGUAGCCACGUUUAUUGGGCCUAAAGCGUCCGUAGCCGGCCUGAUAAGUCUCUGGUGAAAUUCGGUAGAAAACUAUCGAGCGUGCUGGAGAUACUAUCGGGCUUGGGACCGGGAGAGGUCGGAGGUACGCUAUGGGUAGGGGUAAAAUCCUUUAAUCCAUAGCGGACCACCUGUGGCGAAGGCGUCCGACUAGAACGGGUCCGACGGUGAGGGACGAAAGCUAGGGGAGCGACCGGGAUUAGAUACCCCGUUAGUCCUAGCCGUAAACGAUGCUCGUUUGGUGUCGCGGAACUUUUGGGGUCCCGCGGUGCCGUAGCGAAGGCGUUAAAUGAGCCGCCUGGGGAGUACGUCCGCAAGGAUGAAACUUAAAGGGAAUUGGCGGGGGAGCACUACCAGGGGUGGAGGCUGCGGUUC
rnacentral:rRNA from 1 species